rnacentral:rRNA from 1 species
UACGAAGGGGGCUAACGUUGCUCGGAAUCACUGGGCGUAAAGCGCACGUAGGCGGACUCUUAAGUCAGGGGUGAAAUCCUGGAGCUCAACUCCAGAACUGCCUUUGAUACUGGGAGCCUUGAGUUCGGGAGAGGUGAGUGGAACUGCGAGUGUAGAGGUGAAAUUCGUAGAUAUUCGCAAGAACACCAGUGGCGAAGGCGGCUCACUGGCCCGAUACUGACGCUGAGGUGCGAAAGCGUGGGGAGCAAACAGG